UCACGCCCAUUCACAGAAGAUGAAAUCUGGCAUGCGGUUAAGGCGCUCCCCCGCGGCAAGGCCCCGGGACCUGAUGGGUUCACUGCCGAAUUCAUCGUGGCAUGCUGGGACAUGGUUAAAGCCGACAUUUGCCCCGUGUUCGACAAGUUCUACUCCAUGAAUGGGCGCAAUUUGCAACACCUCAAUGAGGCCCUCAUCACACUCCUCCCGAAGAAGUCGGACGCCUCCUUCCUCUCUGAUUACUGCCCCAUCAGCUUGAUACACCUUGUGGCCAAGCUCAUCGCCAAAGUUCUUUCGCUCCGCCUUGCCCCGCACCUUGGCCAGCUCGUCUCCACCAAUCAGAGCGCGUUCGUCGCGGGCCGGUGCGUUCAUGACAAUUUCAUGUUGGUCCAGCAGACCGCCCGCCAGCUGCACAACCUCCGAGUGCCUCGUGUCCUCAAGCUCGACAUAUCGCGCGCCUUUAACACGGUCUCCUAG
rnacentral:rRNA from 1 species